rnacentral:rRNA from 1 species
UGCGAAUGGCUCAUUAAAUCAGUUAUCGUUUAUUUGAUAGUACCUCACUACUUGGAUAACCGUGGUAAUUCUAGAGCUAAUACAUGCUAAAAACCCCGACUUCGGGAGGGGUGUAUUUAUUAGACAAAAAACCAAUGCCCUUCGGGGCUCCUUGGUGAAUCAUGAUAACUUAACGAAUCGCAUGGCCUUGCGCCGGCGAUGGUUCAUUCAAAUUUCUGCCCUAUCAACUUUCGAUGGUAGGAUAGUGGCCUACCAUGGUAUCAACGGGUAACGGGGAAUUAGGGUUCUAUUCCGGAGAGGGAGCCUGAGAAACGGCUACCACAUCCAAGGAAGGCAGCAGGCGCGCAAAUUACCCAAUCCCGACACGGGGAGGUAGUGACAAUAAAUACUGAUACAGGGCUCUUUUGGGUCUUGUAAUUGGAAUGAGUACAAUUUAAAUACCUUAACGAGGAACAAUUGGAGGGCAAGUCUGGUGCCAGCAGCCGCGGUAAUUCCAGCUCCAAUAGCGUAUAUUAAAGUUGUUGCAGUUAAAAAGCUCGUAGUUGAACCUUGGGCCUGGCUGGCCGGUCUGCCUCACCGCAUGUACUGGUUCGGCCGGGCCUUUCCUCCUGGGGAUCCGCAUGCCCUUCACUGGGUGUGUUGGGGAACCAGGACUUUUACUUUGAAAAAAUUAGAGUGUUCAAAGCAGGCCUUUGCUCGAAUACAUUAGCAUGGAAUAAUAGAAUAGGACGUGCGGUCCUAUUUUGUUGGUUUCUAGGACCGCCGUAAUGAUUAAUAGGGAUAGUCGGGGGCAUCAGUAUUCAGUUGUCAGAGGUGAAAUUCUUGGAUUUACUGAAGACUAACUACUGCGAAAGCAUUUGCCAAGGAUGUUUUCAUUAAUCAGUGAACGAAAGUUAGGGGAUCGAAGACGAUCAGAUACCGUCGUAGUCUUAACCGUAAACUAUGCCGACUAGGGAUCGGGCGAUGUUAUUCUUUUGACUCGCUCGGCACCUUACGAGAAAUCA